rfam:Myotis lucifugus cont2.23185, whole genome shotgun sequence.
CUUUUAGUAUAAGUAUGUCCCAUGCAAUAUUGUAAACAGAAUGCAAUAAUUGGGACAUACUUAUACUAAAC